UGAGGAAUAUUGGUCAAUGGGCGAGAGCCUGAACCAGCCAAGUAGCGUGCAGGAUGACGGCCCUAUGGGUUGUAAACUGCUUUUAUGUGGGGAUAAAGUGAGCUACGUGUAGUUUAUUGCAGGUACCACAUGAAUAAGGACCGGCUAAUUCCGUGCCAGCAGCCGCGGUAAUACGGAAGGUCCAGGCGUUAUCCGGAUUUAUUGGGUUUAAAGGGAGCGUAGGCCGUGGAUUAAGCGUGUUGUGAAAUGUAGACGCUCAACGUCUGAAUUGCAGCGCGAACUGGUUCACUUGAGUAUGCACAACGUAGGCGGAAUUCGUCGUGUAGCGGUGAAAUGCUUAGAUAUGACGAAGAACUCCGAUUGCGAAGGCAGCUGACGGGAGCGCAACUGACGCUGAAGCUCGAAGGUGCGGGUAUCGAACAGGAUUAGAUACCCUGGUAGUCCGCACAGUAAACGAUGGAUGCCCGCUGUUGGUACCUGGUAUCAGCGGCUAAGCGAAAGCAUUAAGCAUCCCACCUGGGGAGUACGCCGGCAACGGUG
rnacentral:rRNA from 1 species